rnacentral:rRNA from 1 species
AUGACGUCAAGUCAGCAUGGCCUUUAUGUCCUGGGCUACACACACGCUACAAUGGCCAGCACAGUAGGUUGCGAAACCGCGAGGUGGAGCCAAUCCCUAAAGUUGGCCUCAGUUCAGAUUGUAGGCUGCAACCCGCCUGCAUGAAGAUGGAGUUGCUAGUAAACGCAGGUCAGCUACACUGCGUUGAAUACGUUCCCGGAGAUU